UGGGGAAUUUUGGACAAUGGGCGAAAGCCUGAUCCAGCAAUGCCGCGUGUGUGAAGAAGGCCUUCGGGUUGUAAAGCACUUUUGUCCGGAAAGAAAUGGCUCUGGUUAAUACCUGGGGUCGAUGACGGUACCGGAAGAAUAAGGACCGGCUAACUACGUGCCAGCAGCCGCGGUAAUACGUAGGGUCCAAGCGUUAAUCGGAAUUACUGGGCGUAAAGCGUGCGCAGGCGGUUGUGCAAGACCGAUGUGAAAUCCCCGAGCUUAACUUGGGAAUUGCAUUGGUGACUGCACGGCUAGAGUGUGUCAGAGGGGGGUAGAAUUCCACGUGUAGCAGUGAAAUGCGUAGAGAUGUGGAGGAAUACCGAUGGCGAAGGCAGCCCCCUGGGAUAACACUGACGCUCAUGCACGAAAGCGUGGGGAGCAAACAGGAUUAGAUACCCUGGUAGUCCACGCCCUAAACGAUGUCAACUAGUUGUUGGGGAUUCAUUUCCUUAGUAACGUAGCUAACGCGUGAAGUU
rnacentral:rRNA from 1 species